CUGGCUCAGGAUGAACGCUAGCUACAGGCUUAACACAUGCAAGUAGAGGGCAGCAUUAGAGAAGCUUCGGCUUAUUAGAUGGCGACCCGCGAAUGGGUGAGUAACACGUAUCCAACCUGGCUGUUACUGGAGGAUAGCCUCCCGAAAGGGAAAGUAAGACUCCAUAGUAUGAUUGCAAGACAUCUUGUGAUGAUUAAAGGUUACGGUAACAGAUGGGGAUGCGUCCCAUUAGGCAGUUGGCGGGGUAACGGCCCACCAAACCGACGAUGGGUAGGGGUUCUGAGAGGAAGGUCCCCCACAUUGGAACUGAGACACGGUCCAAACUCCUACGGGAGGCAGCAGUGAGGAAUAUUGGUCAAUGGACGGAAGUCUGAACCAGCCAAGUAGCCGUGCAGGAAGACGGCCCUAUGGGUUGUAAACUGCUUUUAUACGAGGGUAAAGUGUGCCACGAGUGGCAUAUUGCAAGUAUCGUAAGAAAAAGGAUCGGCUAAUUCCGUGCCAGCCGCCGC
rnacentral:rRNA from 1 species